UACGAAGGGUGCAAGCGUUACUCGGAAUUACUGGGCGUAAAGGGUGCGUAGGUGGUCGUUUAAGUCCGUUGUGAAAUCCCUGGGCUCAACCUGGGAAUGGCAGUGGAUACUGGACGGCUAGAAUGCGGUAGAGGGUAGUGGAAUUCCCGGUGUAGCAGUGAAAUGCGUAGAGAUGUGGAGGAAUACCGAUGGCGAAGGCAGCCCCCUGGGCCAAUACUGACGCUCAUGCACGAAAGCGUGGGGAGCAAACAGG
rnacentral:rRNA from 1 species